UUUCCGGUUGAUCCUGCCGGAGGACAUUGCUAUUGGGAUUCGAUUUAGCCAUGCUAGUCGAGCGAGUUUAGACUCGCGGCGCAUAGCUCAGUAACACGUGGCCAAGCUCCCCUUCAGUCGGCGAUACCCUCGGGAAACUGAGGCUAACAGCCGAUACUCGACGCCAGCUGGAAUGCGGCGUCGUCGAAAGACAUCGCUGAAGGAUGCGGCUGCGGCCGAUUAGGUAGACGGUGGGGUAACGGCCCACCGUGCCAGUAAUCGGUACGGGUGAUGAGAGUCAGAGCCCGGAGACGGAAUCUGAGACAAGAUUCCGGGCCCUACGGGGCGCAGCAGGCGCGAAACCUUUACACUGCACGGAAGUGCGAUAGGGGAAUCCCAAGUGCGAGGGCAUAUUAGCCCUCGCUUUUGUUGACUGUAAGGUGGUCAACGAAUAAGAGCUGGGCAAGACCGGUGCCAGCCGCCGCGGUAAUACCGGCAGCUCGAGUGAUGUCCCAUAUUAUUGGGCCUAAAGCGUCCGUAGCUGGCCAACCAAGUCCAUCGGGAAAUCCACCCGCCCAACGGGUGGGCGUCCGGUGGAAACUGGCUGGCUUGGAACCGGAAGGCUCAGAGAGUACGUCCGGGGUAGGAGUGAAAUCCCGUAAUCCCGGACGGACUACCGAUGGCGAAAGCACUCUGAGAAGACGGCUUCGACAGUGAGGGACGAAAGCUAGGGUCUCAAACCGGAUUAGAUACCCGGGUAGUCCUAGCUGUAAACGAUGCUCGUUAGGUGUGGCACCCACUACGAGUGGGUGCUGUGCCGUAGGGAAGCCGCUAAACGAGCCGCCUGGGAAGUACGUCCGCAAGGAUGAAACUUAAAGGAAUUGGCGGGGGAGCACUACAACCGGAGGAGCCUGCGGUUUAAUUGGAUUCAACGCCGGGA
rnacentral:rRNA from 1 species